AUAAAAAAUAGUACAUAUUGCUUUUACCGUUGUCUUUUCUGCUGCGUACUACAAGUUGUCUCAGAUUUCGCUGCUAUGGAGCAUGUUGAUCGGAAAAUCAUGGCCUCAAAAACUCCUGAUGCGUGCAGGUAAAAUGAAAUCCAGAAUAGGAUGCCAAAGAUCCUACGCCUACGGCCGCUCUGGUCAGUGGUUUUAUAGAAAUGUAUCCUGACAGCAUUUACUUCAAGCUGGAGACGUCCAUCGGAGGUGAUCCUUACCCGGACAUACCGGUGCAGUGACAGGAGCACCGGAUUCGAAGCGAUGCCAACAUAGAUGCGAAAGUCAACUUAAUCGGAAUCAACUUGUUUUGCUAGACGAUAUGGGUGAGCAAUCAAAGUAAAUUGCCAUUAUCAUGUCUCAACCGAUCAAGUUUGAAGGCAUCACCGUCAACUUAGCCCAGAUGAUAGAGGAAUCUCGAGAGGAAUAAUGUGCGCUCCGAAAGCGUAUCAUCGUUGGGCAGGCGGUCGCUAA